rnacentral:snRNA from 1 species
AUUGCUUCUCGGCCUUUUGGCUAAGAUCAAGUGUAGUAUCUGUUCUUAUCAGUUUAAUAUCAAUCUAUUUUAGCAUUUAAAUGAAUGGUGAGCAAACAGCUAAUUCUGUUUGUGAUCCGUGCUGGGGAUCCCCAGUAAUUACCUCAGAUGCAAGGUGGGUAACAUUCCC